rnacentral:rRNA from 1 species
GACGAACGCUGGCGGCGUGCUUAACACAUGCAGGUCGAACGAUGAAGCAGGAGCUUGCUCUGGUGAAUUAGUGGCGAACGGGUGAGUAACACGUGAGUAACCUGCCCUUGACUCUGGGAUAACUGCGGGAAACUGUAGCUAAUACCGGAUACGACCCUCGGAGGCAUCUCCUGGGGGUGGAAAGAAUUUCGGUCAAGGAUGGACUCGCGGCCUAUGAGCUAGUUGGUGAGGUAAAGGCUCACCAGGGCGACGACGGGUAGCGGGCCGGAGAGGGUGGCCGGCCACAAGGGGACUCAGACACUGCCCAGACUCCUACGGGUUGCAGCAGUGGGGAAGAUUGCACAAUGGGCGCAAGCCUGAUGCAUCAACGCCGCUGAAGAGAUGGCGGCCUGCUGGUUGUAAACCUCUUUUAGCAGGGAAGAAGCGAAAGUGACGGUACCUGCAGAAAAAGCACCGUCUAACUACGUGCCAGCCGCCGUAAUAC